rnacentral:rRNA from 1 species
GGGAAUAUUGGACAAUGGGCGCAAGCCUGAUCCAGCCAUGCCGCGUGAGUGAUGAAGGCCUUAGGGUUGUAAAGCUCUUUUACCCGGGAAGAUAGUGACGGUACCGGGAGAAUAAGCCCCGGCUAACUCCGUGCCAGCAGCCGCGGUAAUGCGAAGGGGGCUAGCGUUGUUCGGAUUUACUGGGCGUAAAGGGCGCGUAGGCGGGCGAAUCAGUCAGGGGUGAAAUCCCAAGGCUCAACCUUGGAACUGCCUUUGAUACUGUUUGUCUUGAGUUCGAGAGAGGUAAGUGGAACUGCGAGUGUAGAGGUGAAAUUCGUAGAUAUUCGCAAGAACACCAGUGGCGAAGGCGGCUUACUGGCUCGAUACUGACGCUGAGGCGCGAAAGCGUGGGGAGCAAACA